ACUUUUUAAAGGUUUUAAUGAUUUUACUGAAGCUCUAGACUAUGCAAGAGGAAUACUAGGACCAAAUUACUAUAUCUCCCCAGCACUAAGACAAAAUCCAGAAAAAAUCCAAUACAAAAUCCAAAAAGACACAGACAAAAUAAUAUUUUGUGACCACUGCUCGUCUAUGACCGAAGCUUUCAGAAGAUUGAACCAAAAGAAUAAAAGCUUGGAGAAAGAAAAAGUCAGACUUAUG
rnacentral:lncRNA from 1 species